GUGAGGAAUAUUGGUCAAUGGGCGAGAGCCUGAACCAGCCAAGUCGCGUGAAGGAAGAAGGAUCUAUGGUUCGUAAACUUCUUUUGCAGGGGAAUAAAGUGCGGGACGUGUCCUGUUUUGUAUGUACCCUGAGAAUAAGGAUCGGCUAACUCCGUGCCAGCAGCCGCGGUAAUACGGAGGAUCCGAGCGUUAUCCGGAUUUAUUGGGUUUAAAGGGUGCGUAGGUGGUUUGAUAAGUCAGCGGUGAAAGUUUGCAGCUUAACUGUAAAAAUGCCGUUGAAACUGUCGGACUUGAGUGUAAAUGAGGUAGGCGGAAUGCGUGGUGUAGCGGUGAAAUGCAUAGAUAUCACGCAGAACUCCGAUUGCGAAGGCAGCUUACUAAGCUACAACUGACACUGAAGCACGAAAGCGUGGGGAUCAAACAGGAUUAGAUACCCGGGUAGUCC
rnacentral:rRNA from 1 species